GGCUCAGAACGAACGCUGGCGGCGUGGAUUAAGCAUGCAAGUCGAGCGAGAAAGUGGGCUUCGGCCCAUGAGUACAGCGGCGAACUGGUGAGUAACAGGUGGGUAAUGUGCCCUGAAGUGGGGGAUAACACGGGGAAACUCGUGCUAAUACCGCAUGUGAUCUUUCGGACCAUGGUUUGAGAGGUUAAAGCAGUGAUGCGCUUCGGGAUCGGCCCGCCCCCGAUUAGCUAGUUGGUGAGGUCAAGGCUCACCAAGGCACCGAUCGGUAGCUGGUCUGAGAGGAUGGUCAGCCACACUGGGACUGAGAUACGGCCCAGACUCCUACGGGGGGCAGCAGUCUAGAGGCUUCGGCAAUGGGGGCAACCCUGACCGAGCGACGCCGCGUGUGGGAUUGAAGGCCUUCGGGUCGUAAACCACUGUCAUUGGGGAAGAAUGCGCUGAUGGUGAAUCAGCGAGGGACGGUACCCAAGAAGGAAGCCCCGGCUAACUCCGUGCCAGCAGCCGCGGUAAUACGGAGGGGGCAAGCGUUGUUCGGAUUUACUGGGCGUAAAGGGUGUGUAGGCGGCUGCGCAAGUCUGGUGUGAAAUCUUCACCGCUUAACGGGAAGCGUGCACUGGAAACUGCGUAGCUCGAGUAUGGUAGAGGCAAGCGGAAUUCCUGGUGUAGCGGUGGAAUGUGUAGAUAUCAGGAAGAACACCGGUGGCGAAGGCGGCUUGCUGGGCCAUCACUGACGCUGAGACACGAAAGCGUGGGGAGCAAACGGGAUUAGAUACCCCGGUAGUCCACGCUGUAAACGGUGCGCACUAGGUGUGAGGGGUAUCGACCCCCCUUGUGCCGAAGCAAACGCAUUAAGUGCGCCGCCUGGGGAGUACGGCCGCAAGGGUGAAACU
rnacentral:rRNA from 1 species